rnacentral:lncRNA from 1 species
UCAUGCACAAAGUUCUUAUAAAACCCAAAAUCACAAAACGUUAUUAGAAAUUAAACAAGAAACAAAUGUUGAGAGAUGAAUUUGACAACCAACAUGUUACAAAAUUAAAAAAAAUUAUAUAAUACAACAAAAUAAUCAAGUUUUUAUGUGCUAUGCCCAUCUCCAUUUGGAAGCAUCACUAUAACUACCUAGACAAAUAUGCAGAUUACAUAUGGAAUUUGGAAAUAUGCAGAUUACUGCAGUAGCAAGCAAUAAACAACCCUUAACCAUUAGUUAGUUUAAGCUCUCCCUACUUUCUCCACAUCUCCC